rnacentral:rRNA from 1 species
UACGUAGGUGGCAAGCGUUGUCCGGAUUUACUGGGCGUAAAGAGCGCGCAGGCGGUCGUUCAAGUCGCGUGUGAAAGCCCCCGGCUCAACUGGGGAGGGUCACGCGAUACUGAUCGACUCGAAGGCAGGAGAGGGUAGUGGAAUUCCCGGUGUAGUGGUGAAAUGCGUAGAUAUCGGGAGGAACACCUGUGGUGUAGACGGCUUCCUGGACCGCCACUGACGCUGAGGCACGAAAGCGUGGGUAGCAAACAGG